UUGAUUCAAACCCGAGUUCAGAAAUUACUUUGAGUCUAACCGGGUCAAUUUUUUUUUACUUCCUUUUCUUUUCCGAAUAAAAAAUAGCUUCUGUGUGCAUGAAUAGCUACCACAAAUAUAAAGGGACUAGUUUGGUUGUCAUAUAGGUUGUUCUCGCCUAGUUGCAUAUCUAGAGAACUUAUUUAUCCGCACCCUCCGGCCGUUGCUCGUCCUCCAUGGACCCGUGAGCGGUGAACUCGAGCUGCCGCUGCUCGUUCAUCUCGUCCCUGGGGCCAAAAGGUAAAUGAUCCCAUUCAUUAAAUUUCAGAUGACCAACGUUGCAGCUUAACAACAACAGUCAAAAUCUAAAUUAACUGAAGCAUUUAGUUCAUAAAAUCCAAGAUUUAAAAAAUGCAUCUAAGCUACACCAAUAUGAGGCGCUCUAUAACGUACAAAGAAUGGCAAGAGAUAUAUCCAGAAAUAAAAUAAGAAUAACAAAUUUCCUCACGGAUACAAUGGCCUUAUAAACCUGAACAGUAUGCCACUGUGAAACCAUUCUCAUUGCAAAACUGCCAAAAACUAAUAAGAAAACCCAACAUUCUUUUUAAAGGGACCUGCUUAUCCACUAACUAUAUGACUUGCAAUCAUGAGUGAAAUACUCCUCAUGAAUAAAGCUCAAUCAAGUUCGUAGCUCACUGUGCCUCGUGCGAUGAUACCAUUCACCAAGUUCCAAAGCACAAAAGUUGCCAAAGUAACACAAACAUCAAGCUUCAUACAAAAAUUCCGAGACAUGUGGAAUAUCAGUGUGGAUAUGGUGAAACACGUAACUAACUGACUGAAAGAAAGAUCUAUGCCAUCGUUGUAUGAACCUCUAGAACAUUCAAUUUUACCACAGUACAAAAUAAAAACUCAGCAAGAAAGCAUGAUUUCAGUACAAAAAUAAAAAGUGAUAGUAUCUCGAUGCAAGUUCUGGCAGAAACUUGGUCCAACCUUGUGCGAACACAUCAGCAGUGCAAUCAACUAAAUUCAUGAAUCGGCAAUGUCCUGCAGAACUGCGCUAGCAACUAGUCUACUUAUUGCUUGGGUGAUGUAUAUGGCUUAUGAUGGAUGGCAUGGAAAGGAAACAGAAAAAAAAACUGACCAGCUGAAUGCAUAAAUAAGAGAUCGGAAAACUGCAGCUGUGCCACCUAGUUGUGGCACCACAUCAAAUUCGUCAAAUAAGCAACAUCUGCAAAUUUUUAGACAGGAAAUCAAGAUUAGAACGGAUAAAAUAAAUUUGUAUGAUCAGAACUAAAACUCACAGAAUAUAAAUGUGUUAAAAUGAAUGCAAAAGCUGAAGCACCUGAGCAUAUAUGAGUUCUAGUUGACUCCUGAAUCUUCACUGCCACCGCGUCCCACAUCAAGACUGACCUUGUGGUAACUUCACAAGCCAUCUUGGUAUCAACUACUAGAUAUAAAAUUUUGCGAGCCCUCAGAAGCUUACAACCAUAGUAAAAAAUUACGUCUCUGAAAUAAAUAAACUAGAAACGAACCUGAACAAAGUGUUUUGAUCACAGGUAAUUAGGCUCCCUUGAGCCGGAAUGCAGGGUGAAACCAAUAGUCCUUAAAGCUGUGCUGAUGCAGUGAUGCUAAAAUUGCAGAAAAUAAAGUGGUCAGAAUCAGAAUCGCAAAUAAAUAUGACCAAGCAUAUCAAAUUCUUUACCUCGGUAACCAAGCAUCUAUGCAAGUCCUGGAUUG
rnacentral:lncRNA from 1 species